CCUACGGGUGGCUGCAGUGGGGAAUAUUGCACAAUGGGGGAAACCCUGAUGCAGCGACGCCGCGUGAGUGAAGAAGGAAUUCGUGAUGUAAAGCUCUAUCAGCAGGGAAGAAAAUGACGGUACCUGAGUAAGAAGCCACGGCGAACGACGUGCCAGCAGCCGCGGUAAUACGUAGGGGGCAAGCGUUAACCGGAUUUACUGGGUGUAAAGGGAGCGUAGACGGCAGUGCAAGUCUGGAGUGAAAGGCGGGGGCUCAACCCCCGGACUGCUCUGGAAACUGUACGGCUGGAGUGCAGGAGAGGUAAGUGGAAUUCCUCUUGUAGCGGUGAAAUGCGUAGCUAUUUGGAGGACCACCAGUGGCGAAGGCGGCUUACUGGACUGUACCUGACGUUGCGGCUCGAACGCGUGGGGAGCAAACAGGAUUAGCUACCCUAGUAGUC
rnacentral:rRNA from 1 species